rnacentral:rRNA from 1 species
GAUGAACGCUGGCGGCGUGCCUAAUACAUGCAAGUCGAGCGAAGCGGGGACGGGUGAGUAAUACGUGGAUAACCUCCUAUAAGACUGGGAUAACUUCGGGAAACCGGAGCUAAACCGGUUACUUAUAGAUGGAUCCGCGCUGCAUUAGCUAGUUGGUAAGGUAACGGCUUACCAAGGCUACGUUGCAUAGCAGACCUGAGAGGAGGAUCGGCCACACUGGAACUGAGACACGGUCCAGACUCCGACGGGAGGCAGCAGUAGGGAAUCUUCCGCAAUGGGCGAAAGCCUGAUGGAGCAAUGCCGCGUGAAUGAAGAAGGUCUUCGGAUCGUAAAGCUCUGUUAGUAGGGAGGCGGUACCUAAUCAGAAAGCCACGGCUAACUACGUGCCAGCAGCCGCGGUAAUAC